rnacentral:tRNA from 1 species
AUAAAUGAAAAUAGUUUUAAUUUCGACUUAAAAUGUAAGUAUAAUAUACUUCAUUUAUA